rnacentral:misc_RNA from 1 species
GAAGAAAUUUAACAAUUCACCCUAAAUUUCUUUAUCAUUCAGUGCACACAAUUAUCGAACUGUUGAAUACUUAAUAUCAAAAUUAUCAUUUUGCCAAUGUUUGAUAGUCUCUGUCCAUCAGUAGAUGGAAAAUUCCCUGACUAAAAAGAUCAUUUGUGAAUAGUUGUAUCAGAUAUACAAAUUGCUUCUCCUAAUUAGGAGCCAAUUUGGAUUUUAUUGUUAUAACACGAUAACACAUUCAAUUGGAUGAAUCCCAAGGGCAAAGGUUGUAAUUCUGGGGUAAAUUACAAGAGGGCAUUUUUUUUUCCUUGCAAUUUGAUACAUGAGGGCCUACCUUUGAAUGAACUGGGAAAUUUACUUAUGCUGCAAUAGAAAAGG